rnacentral:rRNA from 1 species
UACAAGCGAGCGGCGGACGGGUGAGUAACACGUGGGUAACCUGCCCAAGAGACUGGGAUAACACCUGGAAACAGAUGCUAAUACCGGAUAACAACACUAGACGCAUGUCUAGAGUUUGAAAGAUGGUUCUGCUAUCACUCUUGGAUGGACCUGCGGUGCAUUAGCUAGUUGGUAAGGUAACGGCUUACCAAGGCAAUGAUGCAUAGCCGAGUUGAGAGACUGAUCGGCCACAUUGGGACUGAGACACGGCCCAAACUCCUACGGGAGGCAGCAGUAGGGAAUCUUCCACAAUGGACGAAAGUCUGAUGGAGCAACGCCGCGUGAGUGAAGAAGGGUUUCGGCUCGUAAAGCUCUGUUGGUAGUGAAGAAAGAUAGAGGUAGUAACUGGCCUUUAUUUGACGGUAAUUACUUAGAAAGUCACGGCUAACUACGUGCCAGCAGCCGCGGUAAUACGUAGGUGGCAAGCGUUGUCCGGAUUUAUUGGGCGUAAAGCGAGUGCAGGCGGUUCAAUAAGUCUGAUGUGAAAGCCUUCGGCUCAACCGGAGAAUUGCAUCAGAAACUGUUGAACUUGAGUGCAGAAGAGGAGAGUGGAACUCCAUGUGUAGCGGUGGAAUGCGUAGAUAUAUGGAAGAACACCAGUGGCGAAGGCGGCUCUCUGGUCUGCAACUGACGCUGA